rnacentral:rRNA from 1 species
AGUGAACGCUGGCGGUAGGCCUAACACAUGCAAGUCGAACGGCAGCACAGUAAGAGCUUGCUCUUACGGGUGGCGAGUGGCGGACGGGUGAGGAAUACAUCGGAAUCUACUUUUUCGUGGGGGAUAACGUAGGGAAACUUACGCUAAUACCGCAUACGACCUACGGGUGAAAGCAGGGGAUCUUCGGACCUUGCGCGAUUGAAUGAGCCGAUGUCGGAUUAGCUAGUUGGCGGGGUAAAGGCCCACCAAUGCGACGAUCCGUAGCUGGUCUGAGAGGAUGAUAGGCCACACUGGAACUGAGACACGGUCCAGACUCCUACGGGAGGCAGCAGUGGGGAAUAUUGGACAAUGGGAGCAAGCCUGAUCCAGCCAUACCGCGUGGGUGAAGAAGGCCUUCGGGUUGUAAAGCCCUUUUGUUGGGAAAGAAAAGCAGCAGGUUAAUACCCCGCUGUUCUGACGGUACCCAAAGAAUAAGCACCGGCUAACUUCGUG